rnacentral:rRNA from 1 species
ACCAGACUCCUACGGGAGGCAGCAGUGGGGGAUAUUGCACAAUGGGGGGAACCCUGAUGCAGCGACGCCGCGUGGGUGAAGAAGCGCCUCGGCGCGUAAAGCCCUGUCAGCAGGGAAGAAAAUGACGGUACCUGAAGAAGAAGCCCCGGCUAACUACGUGCCAGCAGCCGCGGUAAUACGUAGGGGGCAAGCGUUAUCCGGAUUUACUGGGUGUAAAGGGGGCGCAGACGGCGAUGCAAGCCAGGAGUGAAAGCCCGGGGCCCAACCCCGGGACUGCUCUUGGAACUGCGUGGCUGGAGUGCAGGAGGGGCAGGCGGAAUUCCUGGUGUAGCGGUGAAAUGCGUAGAUAUCAGGAGGAACACCGGUGGCGAAGGCGGCCUGCUGGACUGCAACUGACGUUGAGGCCCGAAAGCGUGGGGAGCAAACAGGAUUAGAUCCCCUAGUA